rnacentral:tRNA from 1 species
GCCUGGGUGGCUCGGUUGGUUGAGCGUCUGACUUCAGCUCAGGUCAUGAUCUCGCGGUUCGUGGGUUCAAGCCCUGCGUCGGGCU